CUUCCAAACGCCGCCUCCACCGCUUCGCCGUCGCCAUCACCCGAAACUAACAAGCCACCAGCUGCCCCCCACCCCGCACAUGCACUCGUCUGCUCCCACUUCGCCUCCUCGCUCACACCCCAGUCUGGCACUCUCCACCCCACGCCACAGCCAUCCGUAACCACCGCUCUUCCAUGGCGGCCGCCGACGACGAUGGCCAGAUCGACGACGACGAGUUCUACGAGUACAACCCGCACCCCUACGGCGGCGGCUACGACAUCUCCGCCACCUACGGCGCCCCGCUCCCGCCCUCCACCUCCACGUGCUACCCCGUCUCCUCCCCCGCCGGCGCCCCCGCGCGCUCCUCUCCGCGGCCGCCCGCGCCCGCGCCCGUUGCUGCACCCGCCACGCCGCAGCCGGCACCGUCUUCGCCCGCGAAGCCUCGGCCGGCCCCAUCGCCAGAGCCGGCGAGGACACCGCCCUUUUCGCCCGUUCCGGUGCCGAUGCCGGUGCCGGUCGCGGAGCCGUUCUACUGGCCCAAGCCGCACGACUACGGGGACGCGCCGCGGUGGCCGCCGGUGUACCCCACGCCGGAGGUGUUCCGGCGCUGGCCGUACCUGGCGGCGGGGUCGCAUUGCUGCCACUCGCGAGGCGGGCCGCGCGACUACUGGAGGCAGUGCAUGCGCGGGCUGGACUUCCUCUUCGGCCACGCGCCGACGGGUACGGGGAGCGCCGGAUCGGGACCGACUGCCACGGGGUCCCCGUGUACGCCAACAAGAAGGGGGGAGUGGAGGACGCCGUGGUCGUCGAGGUGCCGCCGCCGGCAAUUGGGAGUGUGCAGUGGCACGACGCUGGCGAGGUGCCCGCGACUGGGAAUGCGCAGUGGCAUGACCACGGCGAGGUGCCGGCCAUUGGGAAUGUGCAGUGGCACGACCAUGCGGAGGUGCCGGCAAUUGGGAAUGUGCAGUGGCACGACGCCGGCGAGACGCACGAUCAGAGCAAUUGGCUAUCUUCGUACGACAAUGCAAAAGAGGAUACGUAUGCAUAUGCCCAUUCUACGUAUGGCUCGUAUGACACAUCCUACGAACAGUCUUACAGUGUUAAUGUUGUUUCGGAUGAACCUACUUGGUUUCCCAAUCAAAGCUACCAUGAUGUUUACAGAGAGGAGGAACCUCGGUAUCAGGAGGUUUUGCCCAGUUAUGGCAUAGAAAGCACAUUUUCAUCUCAACCUAUUUAUUGUUACAAUCAACACUCUGGUGAACAACCACUGCAUGUUCAGGUUGAGCCUCCGGAAACAUUUUAUUCUCACAAGUUGGAGUACCACGAGAAUUUCUCAACAUAUACCAACCAUAUUGAUAAUUCGGAGAUAUCGACACAGUCAUGUGAGAUACAGCCCUAUGCAUAUGUACCUGACAGCCCAGUUGAAGCUUAUCAACCUUCUUGGUCGAUGAAUUUGGGAUACUACCAGGACUCCGCAGAAGAGGUGACUCCUCAGUACGAUAAUCAUGCUUUCGAAUCUGGUGAAUAUGGAGGCAUGGCAAGCAUAUUCUCGUCUUCCUCCUAUCCUACUCAGCAAGUAGAAGUUUAUGAGCAGUCUUAUGGUGAUGAGUAUGUCUCCUUAGAACAAAAUUUCCAGAGCAACUGGAAUGCUUUUUCUGAAGAUACCUCUGAAAUCACUAAAUCAGUUGAUGGCAACCAUCUGAAUGGCUCCUUCUGGCCCUUUGGAGAAUACUCAACAUAUACUGUAUAGUUAAUGUUGUAAUUUCAGUUUAGUAUCAAAAUAUCAUAUACUCCCUCCGUCCCGAAUUAACUGUUGUAAUUUCACUUCAGGAUCACAUGUAUGGACAUUUUAAUCUAAUUUAUUUGGCCAAAUGUAAGUAGUAAAUAGCGUCAUAGGAAAAGUGUAAGUAGUAAGUUGUUUUUGCACAAUAUUAUGUACUACCAAAUAUGUGUUAGUUAUGCAUAAAAUGCAAGGUAAUAACCGAAUUGUUGAUCCUA